GCUUGGCUUGGUGGCACAGGUCUACAGUCCUAGCUACUAGUGAAGCUGAAGCAGAAUCACCUGAGCUCAGGAGUUCUUGGCUGUAGUACACAACGAGCAUUGGGUGUCCUCAGUUUGGCAUCAAUAUGGUGACCGCACAAGAGCCAGGGACCACCAUGUUACCUAAGGAGGAGUGAAGCAACUCAGGUCAGAAAUGGAGCAAGUCAAAACUCCCAUGCUCAUCAGUAAUGGGAUCAUGCCUGUGACUAACUCUGCACUCCAGCUUGGGCAACAUAGCAAGACCCUAUCUCUU
ensembl:misc_RNA Metazoa_SRP Metazoan signal recognition particle RNA